rnacentral:rRNA from 1 species
AAUCAACGCUGGCGGCGUGCCUCAGACAUGCAAGUCGAACGAUUAAAGCUCUCUUCGGAGAGUGCAUAGAGUGGCGCACGGGUGAGUAACACGUAAGUAAUCUACCUUCGAGUGGGGAAUAACGUCCGGAAACGGACGCUAAUACCGCAUAAUGCAGCGGCAUCGCAAGAUGACAGUUGUUAAAGAUUUAUCGCUUGAAGAGGAGCUUGCGGCAGAUUAGCUAGUUGGUAAGGUAAUGGCUUACCAAGGCUACGAUCUGUAACCGGUCUUAGAGGACGGUCGGUCACACUGACACUGAAUAACGGGUCAGACUCCUACGGGAGGCAGCAGUCGGGAAUUUUGGGCAAUGGGCGAAAGCCUGACCCAGCAACGCCGCGUGAAGGAUGAAGUAUUUCGGUAUGUAAACUUCGAAAGAAUGGGAAGAAUAAAUGACGGUACCAUUUAUAAGGUCCGGCUAACUACGUGCCAGCCGCCGCGGUAAUAC